UUGAUAGCCUACAUGUGGCCCAGUCACUUCUGUCAUCACCCACUAUUGCCAGCCAAUCCAAGCAGCAGAGCCUUCCAACUGACUGGCAGGUGACUGUAUUCACGUAAGUGAUCUUUGUUGAGACCAAUAGAACAACCCAUCCGAGACCACUUCAAAUUGUAAAGAACGUGAGCUAAAUAAAUGGCUGUUUCAAGCCACUGGGUUUUGGGGUUGUUACAAAGCAAUAGUUUCUGAGUCUGGAAUUCUGGAACAGCCUGAGUGGAUGGUUCUGGCUCAGGUCCUCUCAUAAGGUUAUGUAGACCAAGACUUCAGUCGUCUCAAGACUCAACCAAGGCUGAAGAAUCAGCAUCUAAGUUCACUCAAGUUCUUAUUGAGACCUUUUGGACCAACUGCAUGUCCUUCAUAAUUUUGUAGAACGCAGAAGGAGGACAUCUAAUACAAUUUUCUGUUGACAUCUCUGUCCAAUACUUACAGAUGAAGAAAAUGAGCAUUUGAAAGAACAUGAAGCAUUUCAAAAUCCACAUUGUGGUUAAAAGAAAAGAUGGGUCCUUCAACAUUAUUGGAGAAUUCACUGAAGUAAGACAUGACAGUGCUGGGAGAAUUAAAGAGAGACUGAGCACAAGCAGGGGCAGGGGAGAGAGACACAGAAUCCGAAGCAGUCUCCAGGCUCUGAGCUGUCAACACAGAACCCGUCACUGGGCUCAAACUCACGGACUGUGACAUCAUGACCUGAGCCGAAGUCAGAUGCUUAACUGACUGAGCCACGCCGGCACCCCAUAAACUGCUCACAAAUUUUUAAAACUCAUCUAUCCUUUAAAGUAUACUGCAUCAGAAAACAUCAAAAGAAGUAAUUACGGUGCACACACCAGUGAAUGCUGCUGGUAGUCUGCCCAGAUCCCCUUGCCCAGCAGCAGGCACAGGGCCAAGCUGGACCAAUGGACUUUUCCUCACAGAUGCUGUGAAGAAAGACUCAUGGGGCAAAACUGGAGGCAUCUGAAGACCGUCUUUGGGGCCAAGACCCACAUGUCCC